UCCUCGUUCAUGUAGUAACGAGAGUACGCAGGAACAUCCCAUACUUGAGGCAUCUCGUCGCCUAGCUCGUUAACAAGGACCUUACUGUAACUGGAGAAAAGGAAUCACGAUCGUACAUGGCAUUGUUCGGUGUGUUGGAACGAGAAGACUUCUCUUCCUCGACUAGAGCUGCUUUCAGCCCACCCAAUCCUGACGAGGAUAGAGUUCCUGGAACAAAGAAUAAUAAAUUAGAAUAAUUAAAGUAAUGAAACGUGUCGAUCAAAGGAUAGGAUACUCACUCUUUUCUGCGGUAGACGAGUAAGAGGAUCCACCUGUGUUGCUUUCUGCUUGACGAUUUUGUUGAUUACCAAACAUUAACAUCUCCUGUGCUCGUUUAGCUACAACAGAAAUGAAAUAUAGAUAUUGUUAAUGAAUUCGUCGGCAAGGAUUGGGUUAUCACGAUGAGAGAGCAUAGAGCCAGUAACCACACCCAAUCGUACAUCAUCUGGAAAAAUUCAUUUUUUCCACGGUUAACUCGAAUCUUCCUUAGAUACAGGAUAAAGAAUGCAGUUGCUAUAAAGUAUUCUCUUCGUGUACAGGGCAAAGUUUACGUUAGCCAUGAUGGUAGGUAAAUGAAGAUAGCAGGUCGCUAUGAAAGAAGCUUAAAUGUCAUAUAAUGCGAAAUGUCAGGAAUCUAUUUCCAUUGCGUGUAAAAAAUUAAUGGGUAUAUCACGUAGAAAGUCCCAUUAGAUGCUCGUUCAGAAUUAAUAAACGUGGCAUUAGGAUUGUUUCAUAGAAGAGAAACGCGAGGCACUUUGCAGCCUUAACAGGUCUUUAUCUCUCGAAACUUGGCCAAUUAAAUCGAUCGAAGGAUUUGAAAUAUUUUGGAGAAUAGAACCGAUUGCACUUGAGAAAAUUAACAGAAGGAUUGAAAUAGAAUUUCAGUCACCUUUCUUAGUCUUGACUGUUCUCUACAGGUCAGACUUCUGAUAUGCAGAAACAGCGAAGGAGGAUCGAAUGUAGUAUCUAUGGGGAAUUGGAGGAAAAGUUCUUGGAAGAUAUCCUUUAGCGAGCUGUUUACCUGAGAUACGACGCAUCUCGUCGCACCAAGUAUCUCGGUAAUUGAUCUAUUUCCGAAGAAUCGGCCACACGCUUGCGCGAAUUCAAGGAGUUGCAGAAAAAGAAGCGCGGACUCGCCCUGCCGCGUUUUCCACGAUGAUGACAAAAUAUUAGGAAGAUAAAGAGUUAACGCCACACCCUCUUCUAAGAGAUGCUCUUCUCUUUAAACUUGAAAGCUGAUGCGCCCUCAUUUUUCUUUCGACGAAAAGUUGAUUUUCACGAAUCUAGUAAAAAGGUUGAUUAUCCCACGGAGGACACGGGAGGACCUCGUCGCCGCUGUAAUUACGGCGUUGGUUCUGUGAAGUAAUAUAAUUCGACGUGCUCGACCCGAAGGUUGGUUCCCAUUGACGUCAACCGUUGAUUCUGGGAACCGACGAAUCCCCGUGCUUCCAGGAUUUAGUGGAGGGAUGUACUGAAGAAAUCACUCGUGGGAGGGGAACGUGGAUGUAUGUUCAGUAGUAUAAACCAGUAAUAGAACAGGCAGUUCUAGUCGCUGAUACUACACUGAAGUUUUACACUGUAACCAGCAAAGAGUAGGGAGUAUCCCGAAGGAAUAGAUCGAUGUUUCACUCUGUUGUAGUAAGGGACGCCUGUUGCUGUAAAACAGGAAUAACUUCAUUCAUGAAAUGGCAAAAUGUGAAUACGACGUCUCAUCUUAUAGUUCAAUAAUUGUACAUUAUAAAAUCAUAGUUUUAAAGGAGUGAUGAUUCAGAUAUUACAAAAUGAACUAGAAUUAGUCAAUUUCUAAUUAAUUAUUACUUUAUAAUAACUUUUUUUUGCAUCUGUUGGUUAUGACUGUACCAACCCC